rnacentral:rRNA from 1 species
AGAAGUUACGGUCUCGCUAGGUGACCUGCGGAGGGAUCAUUACACAAAUAUGAAGGCGGGCUGGAACCUCUCGGGGUUACAGCCUUGCUGAAUUAUUCACCCUUGUCUUUUGCGUACUUCUUGUUUCCUUGGUGGGUUCGCCCACCACUAGGACAAACAUAAACCUUUUGUAAUUGCAAUCAGCGUCAGUAACAAAUUAAUAAUUACAACUUUCAACAACGGAUCUCUUGGUUCUGGCAUCGAUGAAGAACGCAGCGAAAUGCGAUAAGUAGUGUGAAUUGCAGAAUUCAGUGAAUCAUCGAAUCUUUGAACGCACAUUGCGCCCUUUGGUAUUCCAAAGGGCAUGCCUGUUCGAGCGUCAUUUGUACCCUCAAGCUUUGCUUGGUGUUGGGCGUCUUGUCUCUAGCUUUGCUGGAGACUCGCCUUAAAGUAAUUGGCAGCCGGCCUACUGGUUUCGGAGCGCAGCACAAGUCGCACUCUCUAUCAGCAAAGGUCUAGCAUCCAUUAAGCCUUUUUUCAACUUUUGACCUCCGGACAAGUAAGGAUACCCGCUUAAAUUAAACAUAUCCAUAAGCCGGGAGAAA